rnacentral:lncRNA from 1 species
CGACUUCUGCCACAUAUUCCCUUUCUACUUUUUUUUUUUUUUUUUUUUUUUAGCUCAGUCCAGUCAGAGCCACAACCAAGUUUUCAUUUCUGUCCCUCUUUUGGUUUUGAUUCUGCUUUUUUUUGGUACCAGGGAUCAAAUUCAGGUCCUUGUGCUUGCGAAGCAGGCAGUGGAACCACUGAGCUAAAUUCCCAGCCCCUGAUUCUGUGUUUUAAUCAAACAUUUACCAUUUCUCAUCCAUUGUGUUUUCUCAGAGAGCAAGUCCUGCUGCCCAAAGAUUUGCACCUGUUACAAUCUUCCCAGCUCUCCAUGGGUGGGAGGCAGAGGUGUAGGAAUGGAUCUCCACAUUCAGAAGUGAGGCUGGACAAAGGAAGAGUCCAGGAGAGGGCUGAGCGUUGGGACCAGCAGCAGCACUGAGAUGCAUCGCCUGUGCAUCCUGGCCAGGAAAACAUGCAAACAGACUUUGAGUCAAAGGUGAGAGGAAGAAGGACGAGGCGGAGUGAAGGAACUUCACCUGGGGAGUGGAGCAGCCAAGGCCUGGAACGGACAUGUGCGCUCCACGAUUUGUGCUCUCCUGUAAAUUAAUUAACCCAAAGUGCUUGUUUGAUUAGUGUGGGGGUGGGGAAUUGAGCAGCGAACAGUACCUCGCACCCAGUUUAGAAUUAUGCUCACAAAAGAGAGGGACCGGAGCAUUGCCUUCCUCGAUCUGAACUCAGCAGGGACAUCUUGGCUGGGACAAACUUUCAGCCGCCAUGGCAGAGCGGGGACAGAGGGGCUCUGAGGCUCUCAGGAGAGCAGGCCUCUGGCUCCCCAGCCUUUCCUGCUCCCCGCUGCUCACCUGCACACUGCAUAGAAACGUUUGGAAUUUCUUUCUUGAUGGAACUGUGGAUAUUUAUUACUCGUGAAGGCCCUGGGAGAAUUCAGUCUGUACAGUGCCCAGAGAGCCACAGUUGAAGACACUGUCUUCGUUUAUAAAGAAAGGAGUUUGUGAGCUGGAGGCUGGGAAGUUGGAGAGCAUGUGGACAACAUCUGCUCAGCCUCUGGCCCGGGCUCCUUGCUGCAUCCUGUCAUGGAGGAGGGCGUGAAGAGGACAUCGCAGGGCAGGAAGAGCAAGUGUGCUGGCCUCUUUUACGAAACCGCUGCUGCCGUCCGAGGCCUCUCCUCUCACAGCCCCGGC